AACGAACGCUGGCGGCAUGCCUAACACAUGCAAGUCGAACGAGACCUUCGGGUCUAGUGGCGCACGGGUGCGUAACGCGUGGGAACCUGCCCUUAGGUUCGGAAUAACUCCCCGAAAGGGGUGCUAAUACCGGAUAAUGUCUUCGGACCAAAGAUUUAUCGCCUUUGGAUGGGCCCGCGUUGGAUUAGCUAGUUGGUAGGGUAAAAGCCUACCAAGGCGACAAUCCAUAGCUGGUCUGAGAGGAUGAUCAGCCACACUGGGACUGAGACACGGCCCAGACUCCUACGGGAGGCAGCAGUGGGGAAUAUUGGACAAUGGGCGAAAGCCUGAUCCAGCAAUGCCGCGUGAGUGAUGAAGGCCUUAGGGUUGUAAAGCUCUUUUACCCGGGAUGAUAAUGUCAGUACCGGGAGAAUAAGCUCCGGCUAACUCCGUG
rnacentral:rRNA from 1 species